UGUUUAAUUUAUAUUAUUGAAAUGAGAUUUAAGUCAGUCCUAUAUUAACUAUUCAAGACAUACAUGCAUCAACUUAAAAUAUAACCAAUUAAUUUAUGCUAAUUCUUUUUAAAAUAAACUUUGUUUUAGAUUGCUGAGGAUACUAAAUUUAGAAGAGUGCGAUUCUCAAACCGUAUUAAAGAUGCUUUGUCAAGAAUAAAGUAGUAAGGGAAAGAGUGUUUCCAGUUUGCUUUCCUUCAAAAAGUUCUCAUACUGGUCAUUUUACUAGAGAUUUUGUUAUUUUCACUGGAUUUUAUUGCUAUGUGUUAUUGCUGUAAUGUUACUGUUGUGAUGUUUUGUGUUGAUAGACAGCUUGGC